rnacentral:rRNA from 1 species
CUUGGGAAAUCCGACGGCUUAACCGUCGGGCGUCUAAGGGAUACUGGCAAUCUUGGAACCGGGAGAGGUGAGGGGUACUUCGGGGGUAGGAGUGAAAUCCUGUAAUCCUCGAGGGACCACCUGUGGCGAAGGCGCCUCACCAGAACGGCUUCGACAGUGAGGGACGAAAGCUGGGGGAGCAAACCGGAUUAGAUACCCGGGUAGUCCCAGCCGUAAACGAUGUGCGUUAGGUGUAUCGGUGACCACGAGUCACCGAGGUGCCGAAGGGAAACCGUGAAACGUACCGCCUGGGAAGUACGGUCGCAAGGCUGAAACUUAAAGGAAUUGGCGGGGGAGCACCACAACAGGUGGAGCCUGCGGUUUAAUUGGACUCAACGCCGGAAAUCUCACCGGAUAAGACAGCUGAAUGAUUGUCGGGCUGAAGACUCUACAUGACUAGCUGAGAG